GUCAAGUAUUGCAGUAGGAAGUCUUUGUCAGCUUAAUGCUGAAGCCAAGAGUAGCACAAGGUACCACAUUCUUGUGCCCAUGGCAGGCUUUUAUAAUCCUUCUGAGUUCUCUUUGACAUCAAGCCCCACGUUGUUCCCCAGUCUCAAUAUACUGUUGGAGGCAGCCACUUAACAAUUAGAGUUGAAACCUGCCCCACAUUGUUCCCCAGUCUCAAUAUUCUGUUGGAGGCAGCCACUUAACAAUUAGAGUUGAAACCUGUCUGCCAUCCUUUGUCUCAAUGUUUGAGGAUGUAUGCAAUGUUAUUGGCAGCGAUUAUAGGAAUGCGGUUGUAUAUUUGGCCUCAGCAGUUUAUUUAUGGCUGCAAUUAAUAUCCCUGAUCAUGGGCUUUUAAACCUAAAAUAGUUCAUAUCCUCCCUUGUUCC
rnacentral:sRNA from 1 species